rnacentral:misc_RNA from 1 species
AUUUCAUUUUCCUCCCAAAUCCUUCCUCGUCGGUUUUCCUUUCUUUCCCAGACAGAGGGUAAAAGCUGUCAAAAGCAGUAAAAAAUUUGGACAGCACAGGAUGCUUCACUUCCACUAUAAAACCUCCAAUGCAGUCCAAUCAAUUCACAACAGUGACUGAAAAUGGUGAUCCUUGUGCCUAAUCGACAACUUUUCUUUGGCGGUGAAUGGAGAGAGCCUGUUCUCAAGAAACGCAUCCCCAUCAUCAACCCCUCUACGGAGGAGAUCAUCGGUGACAUACCUGCAGCUACUGCAGAAGAUGUGGAGCUAGCGGUGGAAGCAGCCCGGAAAGCAUUUACCCGGAACAAAGGCCGAGAUUGGGCUUUCACUUCCGGUGCAUAUCGUGCCAAGUAUUUGCGUGCUAUUGCCGCUAAGAUAACCGAGAGGAAAUCUGAACUGGCAAAACUAGAAGCACUUGAUUGCGGAAAACCACUGGAUGAAGCAGCAUGGGAUAUAGAUGAUGUUGCUGGAUGUUUUGAGUACUAUGCUGAUCUUGCUGAAGGUUUAGAUGCAAAGCAAAAAACUCCUGUUUCUCUUCCUAUGGAAACAUUCAAGAGUUAUGUUCUUAAGGAACCUAUUGGUGUUGUUGCAUUGAUCACUCCAUGGAAUUACCCACUAUUGAUGGCUACAUGGAAAGUGGCUCCAGCCUUGGCAGCAGGUUGCACGGCAAUACUGAAGCCAUCUGAACUGGCAUCAGUAACCUGUUUAGAGUUGGCUGAAGUGUGUAGAGAGGUUGGUCUUCCCCCAGGUGUCCUCAAUAUUCUAACUGGAUUGGGCCCUGAAGCUGGCGCUCCUUUGGCAUCUCAUCCCCAUGUUGACAAGAUAGCAUUUACUGGAAGCACAGCUACAGGGAGCAGGAUAAUGGCAUCUGCAUCUCAGAUGGUCAAGCCAGUUUCUAUGGAGCUUGGUGGGAAAAGCCCAAUUAUUGUGUUUGAGGAUGUUGAUCUUGACAAGACUGCUGAAUGGACUGCCUUUGGUUGCUUUUGGACAAAUGGUCAGAUGUGCAGUGCAACAUCCCGUCUUCUUGUGCAUGAAAGCAUUGCAACUGAAUUUGUAGAUAGGCUUGUUAAAUGGUGCAAAAACAUUAAAAUAUCAGAUCCCUUAGAAGAAGGUUGCAGACUUGGCCCAGUUGUUAGUGGAGGGCAGUAUGAGAAAAUAUUGAAAUUUAUCUCAACUGCUAAGAGUGAAGGUGCAACCAUUUUGUUUGGUGGGGCUCGUCCAAAGCAUUUGAACAAGGGAUUCUUCAUUGAACCAACCAUCAUCACUGAUGUAAAUACCUCAAUGCAAAUUUGGAGAGAGGAAGUGUUUGGACCUGUUCUAUGUGUUAAAACAUUUAGUACAGAAGAUGAAGCCAUUGAAUUGGCAAAUGACACUCACUACGGCUUAGGUGCUGCUGUGAUAUCAAAAGAUCUGGAAAGGUGUGAUCGUGUAAGCAAGGCUUUCCGGGCAGGUAUCGCAUGGAUCAAUUGCUCACAACCAUGCUUCUGUCAAGCUCCAUGGGGAGGCCUCAAGAGUAGUGGUUUUGGGCGUGAAUUAGGAGAAUGGGGACUUGAGAACUACUUGAGUGUGAAGCAGGUGACUCAAUACAUCUCUGAUGAACCAUGGGGCUGGUACCAGCCCCCUUCAAAGCUGUAAGAGAUCCUUGUGAGAACUAAAAAUAACUGCAGAUGUGCCAGAACAAUGGGAAUAAAAGGAUACCGAGUACUGAACUCGACAUGUACUGGAGUAAAUUUUUAGAAAAACUUGGAAAUACUCACAAGUACACAGAACUAGCUUGUUCCCGUGGAUGUUCUAUCAUGUUUGCCGCAGCGUUUAGACCCAGUAUUUACUUGAUAUGGUUUUCUCACCCUUAAUUCAUUGCCCAGUCCAUUGCCUUGCACAUUCUACCAAAAUGAUCCUGUGAUGAUGUGUUUCAAUGCCAGCUAUAAUUAUAGUGCCACAAACAAGGAAUUUCAGUUCCAUUGGUGUUUUAUUGAACACCCUGGUAGGAGAUUUUCUUAGCUGGGCUACAAAAUUCUGGGUCACUCGUGGCAAGUUGAUUUUCUCACAAAGACCAAUUUGGCAACCGGUGCAAGUACUGUACUGCGAAGAAAACUGGACACCACCAUUCACACCUUACCUUGCUAGAUCACAAUAGUGGAGACCGAUAUUCACUUGAAGAGUAUGAACUACUGAACUAGUCCAUACUGAUUCACACACGAAGGCACUUUUCCUUCGUUUAAUACACAUGGGCAUGUAGCGUCCACGACCACAAUGAAUUGAACUAAUUAAUUAUAACGCUACGCAGAAAUUAUUGAGC